AAGAACCUCUGAGCCUUGCACUUUAGGGCUUAAAACUCGUUUUUCACCACCCUUAUUGUUCAACAAACCUUAGAGAGCUGUGAAAGUGAUGUGAAGAUCCUGGCCCCACAUGAGAAGGUGUGACAAGGCCAGCCAGGAAUCCAGCCACUCUUAACACUCAGGCACCACAGAGCUGUGAUGAGAAUGUGUUUGAAUCAACUCCACAGAGCAGAUACUACAGGCACAUGAGCUGCCCAGGUACACAGAGACUCAUUAUUCAGGAUUCUACUGGAACUGCUGUAUCAGAUGUGAGAGAGAACUUGCACCUGGCUAGGAUUUAGUGACCCACCACUGUGACAUCCCACCCUUAAAGGUAGGAUGUCACAAUUACGCAGUUUUGACUCACCAACAGUUCAGUACCACGUACAGGAAGUUCCCCUCUACUAGGAGGCACAGAGGUGGCAGUUAUUUAUCUCCAGAGUGCAGCCUGCUCUACAAACAUCUCGCCAGGAAUGUGUCCUAUCCCUGUUCCACUGUGCAGCUUCGUGUCCCAGCAGCAUCUCUGUGCUGUCAACUCUUGACACGUUACUGAGAAAGAAGUCCCUCAAAAUUGGUGGAGGGGAUAAAAACCAGAAAGGUACACAAGUUAAA